UACGGAGGAUCCAAGCGUUAUCCGGAUUCAUUGGGCUUAAAGGGUGCGUAGGCGGAAUGAUAAGUCAGUGGUGAAAUCCUGCAGCUUAACUGCAGAACUGCCAUUGAUACUGUCGAUCUUGAGUACAUUUGAUGUGAGCGGAAUUUGUCAUGUAGCGGUGAAAUGCUUAGAUAUGACACAGAACACCGAUUGCGAAGGCAGCUCACAAAACUGUAACUGACGCUGAGGCGCGAAAGCGUGGGUAUCAAACAGG
rnacentral:rRNA from 1 species